GAGUAUGGCCACAUGAAUGACUCAGCGCAGUAUGAGUCUUUGUUUUCUUCCGAAAACAAGCUCAAUGAGAGCCAUCGGGGGUAGAUCUAUCUCAUGACGAGUGGUGGAAUACUUUGACUUCAUGAGAGAGAAGCUGAGGCGAAGGCGUCUACCUAGAGGGUUUCUGUCGAUCAAGGGCGAGAGUAGGAGUAUCCAACAGGAUUAGAGACCCUGGUAGUUCCUACCUUAAACGAUGCCGACAGGAGUUUGUCAUUUGUUAAUGGCAGAAUCUUUGGAGAAAUCAUAGUUCUUGGGCUCUGGGGGAACUACGACCGCAAGGCUGAAACUUGAAGGAAUUGACGGAAGGGCACACCAGGGGUGGAGCCUGUGGCUUAAUUUGAAUCAACACGGGGAAACUUACCAGGACCAGAUGUUUUUUAUGACUGACAGGCUUCGGGUCUUUCAGGAUAUUGUUUUUGGUGGUGCAUGGCCGUUGGUGGUGCGUGGGUUGACCUGUCUAGCGUUGAUUCAGCUAACGAGCGAGAUUAUCGCCAAUUAUUUACUUUGCCGAAGUCCUUCGGUUAAAGUUCUAAUUGGGACUCCCUGCGAUUUUAGCAGGUGGAAGAGGGUAGCAAUAACAGGUCCGUGAUGCCCUUUAGAUGCUCUGGGCUGCACGCGUGCUACAAUGUUAGGAUCAAUAGGACUGCGAGCCUGAGAGGGUGCGCUACUCUUAUAAUCCCUAACGUAGUUGGGAUUGACGUUUGUAAUCAGCGUCAUGAACCAGGAAUCCCUUGUAAAUGUGUGUCAACAACGCACGUUGAAUACGUCCCUGCCCUUUGUACACACCGCCCGUCGCUCCUACCGAUUGGAUGACUCGGUGAAAUCACCGGCUUCC
rfam:Trichomonas vaginalis G3, whole genome shotgun sequence.